AGUGAACGCUGGCGGCAGGCCUAACACAUGCAAGUCGAGCGGAUGAACGGAGCGUGCUCCUGGAUUCAGCUGGGGACGGGCGGGUGAUUCACAGGUAUCUGCCUUGCCGCUGGGGCUAAGGUCAGGACACGGGCGCUCAUACCGUAUACGACCAGAGGUUGAACGGGGGGGAUCAUCGGAGCUCCCGCUAUUAGAUGAGCCUAGGACGGAUUAGCUAGUUGGUGGGGUAAAGGCCUACCAAGGCGACGAUCCGUAGCUGGUCUGAGAGGGUGAUCAGCCACACUGGAACUGAGACACGGUCCAGACUCCUACGGGAGGCAGCAGUGGGGAAUAUUGGACAAUGGGCGAAAGCCUGAUCCAGCCAUGCCGCGUGUGUGAAGAAGGUCUUCGGAUUGUAAAGCUCUUUUAUUAGGGAAGAACAGCAGUAAGUUAAUCCCUGGCUGUUUUGACGGUACCAAAAGAAUAAGCACCGGCUAACUUCGUG
rnacentral:rRNA from 1 species